rnacentral:rRNA from 1 species
UACGAAGGGGGCUAGCGUUGCUCGGAAUCACUGGGCGUAAAGCGCACGUAGGCGGAUUGUUAAGUCAGGGGUGAAAUCCUGGAGCUCAACUCCAGAACUGCCUUUGAUACUGGCGAUCUCGAGUCCGGGAGAGGUGAGUGGAACUGCGAGUGUAGAGGUGAAAUUCGUAGAUAUUCGCAAGAACACCAGUAGCGAAGGCGGCUCACUGGCCCGGUACUGACGCUGAGGUGCGAAAGCGUGGGGAGCAAACAGG